AUUGAACGCUGGCGGCAUGCCUAACACAUGCAAGUCGAACGACAGCAUGGUCUAGCUUGCUAGACUGAUGGCGAGUGGCGCACGGGUGAGUAACGCGUAGGAAUAUAGCUCAAAGAGGGGGAUAACCUGAGGAAACUCAGGCUAAUACCGCAUAAGCUCUGAGGAGUAAAGCUGGGGACCUUAUGGCCUGGCGCUUUGAGAUUAGCCUGCGUCCGAUUAGCUAGUUGGUAGGGUAAAGGCCUACCAAGGCGACGAUCGGUAGCUGGUCUGAGAGGAUGGUCAGCCACACUGGGACUGAGACACGGCCCAGACUCCUACGGGAGGCAGCAGUGGGGAAUAUUGGACAAUGGGGGCAACCCUGAUCCAGCAAUGCCGCGUGUGUGAAGAAGGCCUAUGGGUUGUAAAGCACUUUCAGUGGGGAGGAGAAUGUUCUGGUUAAGAGCUGGAGUAUUGGACGUUACCCACAGAAGAAGCACCGGCUAACUCCGUGCCAGCAGCCGCGGUAAUACGGAGGGUGCGAGCGUUAAUCGGAAUUACUGGGCGUAAAGGGUGCGUAGGUGGUUUGAUAAGUUGGCUGUGAAAUACCGGGGCUUAACCUUGGGGCGUCAGCCAAGACUGUCAGGCUUGAGUAUAGGAGAGGGCAGUGGAAUUUCCGGUGUAGCGGUGAAAUGCGUAGAGAUCGGAAGGAACACCAGUGGCGAAGGCGUCUGCCUGGCCUAAUACUGACACU
rnacentral:rRNA from 1 species